GACAGAGGGUGCAAACGUUGUUCGGAAUUACUGGGCGUAAAGCGCGUGUAGGCGGAUCGGAAAGUCGGGCGUGAAAUCCCCAGGCUCAACCUGGGAACUGCACCCGAAACUCCCGGUCUUGAGUGGUGGAGAGGGAAGUGGAAUUCCUGGUGUAGAGGUGAAAUUCGUGGAUAUCAGGAGGAACACCAGUGGCGAAGGCGGCUUCCUGGACACCAACUGACGCUGAGACGCGAAAGCGUGGGGAGCAAACAGG
rnacentral:rRNA from 1 species